UCCUGUGUUCUAACCAAAGCUGAGAGAAACAGGAUGUGGCAAAUGUCACUAGACUGCCUGCCCUGGGUUCAUCAAGGCUGAAAAGUGACAGUUCUAGAAAGGAGCAUUGGAUCUGACCGAGUUGGUAAUCCCUUGUUUGGAAAAAAACCACUGAUCUAGGAGUCAAAAGACUGAAUUUUAAUCAUAGCCCCUAUGAAAUCCAGCAAGUCCCUUAAAUUCUGAGCCUCAUCUGCCACCCCUGGAAAAUGGGUACCAGCACCUGCACUGCCCACCUCACAGGGUUGGUGUGAACAUGAACUGACUCACAGUGGGUGGAACUCCCGAGUAUCUGGCUCUACAUAAGAAGGAAUUUUGGUCAUUGCAGCUGUCACAAAAGAAAAAGUGCUGGCAAUACCAGCUUCCUUCUUCCCUGUCACUAAAAAACAGAUUCUAGGAAUAAAGAAACUUGUAUUAAGAGCAUAGGUUUCUCCCAUUACACGUUCCUGGCAUAAAUCAACUAAAUGAAUGCCCUCCUAAGAAGUAAUAACACAUCGCGUGCUUUUUGAGAACCAAACCCUUAGCAUUCACACCUUGGCACCUUGCAUGUCAGGUGAGCAGUAGGUACUUCUGGACAUGAAUUUAAUUUGGUCUCUGCAAGUUAAAGUUGAGUUAAAUUUAGAGAAGAUCUAAGAAAAAUGAAAAUUAUUUGAAUUCACAAAAACAUGUCUUUUUUGGUAAAGAACUGUUAAAUGAAUGGAUACUCUUUCAGGGGAAAAAAUGUCUGAACCUCACUAUUUUAAAUAUGUGGGAGAUUUUUACAUGAAUGGUGAUAAGUGGGUUUUCAUUUUUGACAAAAGAAAUUAGCAGCAAGGGAGCAUUCAGUUAGGAAUAACUAAAAUCUAGGAACUGCUACAGUGGCUACCAAAGUGCUUUAAAAUAUUCUUUCCUUUCAAGUCUCAAAAAUAGAAUUUAAGAUACAAGAGGCUCUGCCUAACGAUGACAAUGAAUUUCAUCUCCUAUAUCCUCCUUCCCUCCCUCUCUUGCUUGCCUGUGCAGUUCUCUCUUUAUCUAUAAGAAUCAGAGUGAAAGAGACUGAAAUAAUUUUCUCCAGUGGCCAUCUUUGGCAUGCUUAGUAAUGACAACAAAGAAAGCCUCUAGGUUAUUGUUUUUAGAAACCAGAGUAUUUUCAACUCUAAAGUUGGCAAGAAAAUGUGCCCCAGGGAAAGAUAAUAUUCAAGAAGCCUGUCUUAUCCUUGACGACAAAAUAAUCUUCGGUAGGUCUGUAUUCUGAUUUGGUAGCAUCCGGGAAGAAUUAAAAGCCAUCUUUGUCUUUUUGUUGAUCAAUAAAAACUGCGAGGGUAACACGAACACAAGACUCAAAGUACUGUACACUGUAAUAUGUAAGUGAAUAAAAGGACAUUACCUUCAAUUACACAGCAAUGUAUCUAAUUUUGGUAUAGAUUUUCUACUUGUGAAAUAAACAACCUUUCCACAGCAACUGGAGCUGAGCACACAAUAGCUGUCUAGAACCCUUUACCCUGCCAAGAGCUUGAGCCAAAGCAGAUAAAAUAAAGGAAGACGUUUAUGGCACUUUAUUCCAUGUCUCAACGGUGCAGCCUGCUGCCACCCAGACACUCACGUGCCUCCAUUGUCCACUCGAAUGGCUUAAUAAGACAAAUCCUCAGGAGGAAAAUAGCCACCUGAAAAUGAUUCCAAGAAAAAUCUGACUUCAUAAAGGCUGUUUGCAACUCCCACUGGGCAGAGUAGAGCAGGCACUACAAUUAGGAUGUGCAUUCAGGCAAUAACACUUUGAGAUUUUCUACAGCCUGUAAGAAUAAGUUUCUUCACUGAAAUGCCAAUGAGGCAUGAAACCAAGCAGGAAGCUGUGGACCAGGACCAGGCCAGGUCGCGUGAGAAGCUAAGGAUAACAGGGAGGAUGGGGAGAUGUUCAUGGCACUAGGAACUGGGAUGGCUAUGCUUAUUUCAACUCUGAGCAAGGGGCAUGCAGAUACCUCGUUGCUCUCACCCCAGCAGCAUAUUUUAGCACCUCUAGGAGCAACCUAGAGCCAGUAAUGAGGGGAAAAUCCAGAGACUCCAAAAAGCAAUGAGGCAGCUGAGGCCACACUGACGGAGAGACUCAGAAGGUUGCAGGGUAAAAAUGUGACAGGAUACAUUUACAAUGGAAAUGCCUACACAGGCAUCUGGGGGUUAUCCUGGACAGACACAACUUGACGUGUAAACCACAAGAAUAUAUUAUGUUGCUCCUGCACAUUUUUAAAAACUUAUUUUAAAAAUUUCCUUAAUAGAAAUCUUUUUCUUUUGGUAUACGGUUCUAUGAAUUUUAACACACAUAUAGAUCUGGGUAACAAUCAUCAAAAUCAAAACAUAUAUUAGUUCCAUCACCCCCUGAAAAUAUUCCCCUGUGCUAUCGAUCCUACCUUUACAGUAAUCUCAACCCCAGUCAACCACUGGUUUCCCAUCAUUAUAUCUUUGUCUUCCAGAAUGUGACAAAAAUGGGAUUUUACAGUAUGUAACCUUUUGGGACUGCCUCCUUGCACUCAACAGAAUGCCUCUGAGAUUCACCCACAUUGCUGCAUGCAUCAAUAAUUCAUCUCUUUAAUAGUCCCUUGUAUGACUAUAUCACAAGUUAUCCAUUCACCUGCUGAGGGACAUUUGGGUUGUUUCUAGAAGUUUUUAAUAAUUAUGAAUAGAACUGCUAUAAAUAUUCAUGUUAUGCUUUUAUAUAAACAUAGCCUUCAUUUCUCUAAGACACUCAGAAGUGGUAUUGCUGGGUCAUAUGUUAGGUGUAUGUUUAACUUUAUAGAAAACUGCUAAAAUGCUUUCCAGAUCGGCUGUACUAUUUUGCAUUCCCACUAGCAAUAUAAGCAAUAUAUGAGAGUUCCAGUUGCUCCACAUCCUUGCCAACGCUUGGUAUUGUCAAUAUUUUUAAUUUUAGACAUUAGACUAGAUCGUAGUGGCAUCCCACCACAUAUGGUUUUAAUUUACAUUUCCCUCAGGGUUAACGAUGUUUCAAUACCUUUCAUUGCUUAUUUGCCAUCAUCAUAUCCUUUUUUACUGAAGUGUCUGUUCAAUCCUUUGUCCAUUUAAAAAAAUCAUGUUGCUUGUUUCUUUUUGUUGACUUUUGAGAUUUCUUUAUAUAUUCUAGAUUCAAGCCCUUUGUUAGAUAUCUGAUUUGUAAAUAUUUUCUCCUAGUCUGUAGCUUGUUUUUAAAUUGUGUUAAAUGCCUUUUGUAGAAAAAGUUUUACUUUUGACCAUGUCCUAUCAUCAACCUUUUUUUUGAUGGAUCUUGCUUUUGGUAUUGUGUUUAAGAAUUUUACCUACCCUCAAGUUCCAAAUAUCCCAUUUUCUUCUAGAACUUUUAUAGUACCAUGUUUUACAUUUAGAUCUACAAUCCGUUUUGAGUUAAUUCUGAAUAUAAAGUAUGAGGUUUAGGUUUAGGUUGAAGGUUUUUGGUUUUUCGUUUUUUUGUUUUUUGCAUCUAGAUGCAAAAUUGUUCCAGAACUUUUGUUGAAAAGUUUAUCCUUUUGCCUUUCAAUUUUUCCAUUGAAUCUACCACCUUUGUCAAAAAUAAAGUGACCAUAUAUGUCAGUCUAUUUCUGAACUCUUCAUUCUGUAACAUUAUUUGAUGUGUUUCUCUCCUUUCACCAAUACCAUACUGUUUUGAAUGCUGUAGCUUUAUCUUAAAUUUGAUUAAGGUGAUUCUUCUCACUUUAUUCUUCUUUUUCAAAAUUGUUUUAGCUAUCCUAGGUCCUUUUUUGUUCCAUAUAAAUUUUAAAAUCACUUUGUCCAUAUCUAUAAAAAAUCCUGUUGAGAUUUUGAUUAUUGUUAUGUUAAAUCUGUAAAUCAAUUUAAGGAGAACUGACUUCUUUACUAUGUUGAGUUUUCCAAUCUAUGAACACAGUACAUCUCUCUAUUUA
rnacentral:lncRNA from 1 species